rnacentral:rRNA from 1 species
UACGUAGGGGGCAAGCGUUGUCCGGAAUUACUGGGCGUAAGGCGCGUGCAGGCGGCUUGGUAAGUCUGCUCUGAAAGCUCGGGGCUCAACCCCGGGAGGCGGGUGGAUACUGUCAAGCUCGAGUCCGGAAGAGGAGUGUGGAAUUCCUGGUGUAGCGGUGAAAUGCGCAGAUAUCAGGAGGAACACCAAUGGCGAAGGCAGCACUCUGGGACGUGACUGACGCUCAUGCACGAAAGCGUGGGGAGCAAACAGG